rnacentral:rRNA from 1 species
UAGGGAAUAUUGGACAAUGGAGGAAACUCUGAUCCAGCCAUGCCGCGUGCAGGAUGAAGGCGCUAUGCGUUGUAAACUGCUUUUACCAGGGAAGAAUUCAUUUCAUUCUUGAGAUGUUGACGGUACCUGAUGAAUAAGCACCGGCUAACUCCGUGCCAGCAGCCGCGGUAAUACGGAGGAUGCAAGCGUUAUCCGGAUUCACUGGGUUUAAAGGGUGCGUAGGCGGACUGAUAAGUCAGUGGUGAAAUCUUCUCGCUUAACGAGGAAACUGCCAUUGAUACUAUCGGUCUUGAAUUCGGUUGAGGUGAGUGGAAUAUGUCAUGUAGCGGUGAAAUGCCUAGAUAUGACAUAGAACAUCCAUUGCGAAGGCAGCUCACUAAGCCGACAUUGACGCUGAGGCACGAAAGCGUGGGGAUCAAACAG